UUCAAACCUUCGUGAUGCCAUACCUGGGCGUUGUUUUCCACUGCCACCAAGCUCUAAUAUUUAGGAAUCAUCUACCAGGCACUAUUUUUGGACUGCAUGGCUGUACUGAUACUGGGACCACCCCUCCUCCCAGUGUCGUCGAUGGCCAUCCGGCGUACACGAAGGGGUGAUUUUGACCAGUGGGCUGCAUGGGGAUGAAGCCAGAUCAACUAAAGAUAUGGCUUCAGCUCCACUUUGACAACAUGCCAAACGCAUGCCUCCAGACAUUUACCAAGAUGUAUCUAAAAAUAAAUGAAGA